rnacentral:miRNA from 14 species
GAUACAGGGAGGCGGCGGCGGCGGCGGCGGCGGCGGCGGCGGCGGCGGCGGCGGCGGCGGCGGCGGC